rnacentral:rRNA from 1 species
UACGUAGGGUGCGAGCGUUAAUCGGAAUUACUGGGCGUAAAGCGUGCGUAGGCGGUUCGUUAAGUUCGUUGUGAAAGCCCCGGGCUCAACCUGGGAACUGCAAUGGAAACUGGCGGGCUUGAGUGUGGCAGAGGGGGGUGGAAUUCCGCGUGUAGCAGUGAAAUGCGUAGAGAUGCGGAGGAACACCGAUGGCGAAGGCAGCCCCCUGGGCCAACACUGACGCUCAGGCACGAAAGCAUGGGGAGCAAACAGG